rnacentral:miRNA from 1 species
CAGGAUGCUCAGUUAAAUUUGAACUUUGAAUAAAAAAAUGAUGUUUUAUGUAGCACAAGUAUAUCCCAUGCAAUAUUUGGGACGUACUUAUACUAAAAAAAAAUUUGUUGUUUAUCUGACAUUCAAAUUUAGCUGGCAUCCUGU